CGCAAGCCUGACGGAGCCAGACCGCGUGAGGGAAGAAAGCCUUUGGGUUGUAAACCUCUUUUCUCAGGGAAGAAACCUGACGGUACCUGAGGAAUCAGCAUCGGCUAACUCCGUGCCAGCAGCCGCGGUAAGACGGAGGAUGCAAGCGUUAUCCGGAAUUAUUGGGCGUAAAGCGUCCGCAGGCGGCUAAUUAAGUCUGCUGUCAAAGCCCACAGCUCAACUGUGGAUCGGCGGUGGAAACUGGUUAGCUUGAGUGCCGUAGGGGUAGAGGGAAUUCCCGGUGUAGCGGUGAAAUGCGUAGAGAUCGGGAAGAACAUCGGUGGCGAAAGCGCUCUACUGGACGGCAACUGACACUCAGGGACGAAAGCUAGGGGAGCG
rnacentral:rRNA from 1 species